rnacentral:tRNA from 1 species
AGGUCCUUAGCUCAGAUGGUAGAGCAACAGCCUUUUAAGCUGAUGGUCGCGGGUUCAAGUCCCGCAGGGCCUACCA